rnacentral:rRNA from 1 species
AACGCUAGCGGCAGGCCUAAUACAUGCAAGUCGAACGGUAACAUUGGUGCUUGCACCAGAUGACGAGUGGCGCACGGGUGCGUAACGCGUAUGCAAUCUACCUUUUACUAGAGUAUAGCCCAGAGAAAUUUGGAUUAAUCCUCUAUAAUAUCUUUUAAUUUCAUGAUUUUAAGAUUAAAGUUUUAACGGUAAAAGAUGAGCAUGCGUCCUAUUAGUUUGUAGGUGAGGUAACGGCUCACCUAGACUACGAUAGGUAGGGGCCCUGAGAGGGGGAUCCCCCACACUGGUACUGAGACACGGACCAGACUCCUACGGGAGGCAGCAGUAAGGAAUAUUGGACAAUGGACGAAAGUCUGAUCCAGCCAUGCCGCGUGCAGGAUGAAAGCCCUACGGGUUGUAAACUGCUUUUAUACAGGAAGAAACACUCCGACGUGUCGGAGCUUGACGGUACUGUAAGAAUAAGGAUCGGGC